UACGUAGGGUGCAAGCGUUAAUCGGAAUUACUGGGCGUAAAGCGUGCGCAGGCGGUUUUGUAAGUCUGUCGUGAAAUCCCCCGGGCUCAACCUGGGAAUGGCAUUGGUGACUGCACGGCUAGAGUGUGUCAGAGGGGGGUAGAAUUCCACGUGUAGCAGUGAAAUGCGUAGAGAUGUGGAGGAAUACCGAUGGCGAAGGCAGCCCCCCUGGGAUAACACUGACGCUCAUGCACGAAAGCGUGGGGAGCAAACAGG
rnacentral:rRNA from 1 species